GAUGAAGAACGCAGCGAAAUGCGAUAAGUAAUGUGAAUUGCAGAAUUCAGUGAAUCAUCGAAUCUUUGAACGCACAUUGCGCCCGCCAGUAUUCUGGCGGGCAUGCCUGUUCGAGCGUCAUUUCAACCCUCAGGCCCCGCCUGGCGUUGGGGAUCGGCGCGGCCCUCUCCGGGCUGCCGGCCCCGAAAACUAGUGGCGGUCUCGCUGUAGUCCUCCUCUGCGCAGUAGCAACGCUCGCACUGGAACUCGGCGCGGCUACGCCGUAAAACACCCCACUUCUGAAAGUUGACCUCGGAUCAGGUAGGAAUACCCGCUGAACUUAAGCAUAUCAAUAAGCGGAGGA
rnacentral:misc_RNA from 1 species